UAGCACCAGCCCCCUUCGCUAGACGCCUACACGCUGAUCUGGGCGCGCUUUCAAAGAUGGCCGCCGAGGCUAGCGGGCACUCCAGCCAAGAUGGCCGCCGGGGAGGCCGCCCGAACCCGUAAUGGCGGCUUCAGCGACUGAGGGAGGCUGCCCACAGCCGAGAUGGCCGCGCCCGUACCAUAGAGAGGGGGCGGGCUCGCUACGCGCGGUGCUGUCUAUAGCAGAGGGAGGCCCGUGCGGGUCUCUAUGGCAGCGCUGGUAACGUUCCCGAGGCGGCCGGGCCCGUGCGCCCCAGCGGCUCCGGCCCCCGAGCGCUGACGGGGCCGCCGGGAGGAUGCCCCAGGCCGCCUACUUCUUCCUGCGGGCCGUAGGCAAGGGCAGCUACGGCGAGGUGAGCCUGGUGCGGCACCGGCAGGACAACCGACAGUAUGUCAUCAAAAAGCUAAACCUUAAACAUGCUUCCAGCCGAGAGAGGAAGGCAGCUGAGCAAGAAGCCCAGUUGUUGUCUCAGCUCAAACACCCCAACAUAGUCACCUACAGGGAGUCCUGGGAGGGGGAAGAUGGCCUGCUAUAUAUUGUUAUGGGCUUCUGUGAAGGAGGGGACCUAUAUCAUAAACUUAAAGAGCAGAAAGGCAUACUUUUGCCAGAGAAUCAGGUGGUGGAAUGGUUUGUUCAGAUUGCCAUGGCAUUGCAGUAUUUACAUGAAAAACACAUUCUGCAUAGAGAUCUCAAAACUCAAAAUGUGUUCCUGACAAGAACAAAUAUAAUUAAAGUGGGAGAUCUGGGAAUAGCCAGAGUGUUAGAAAAUCAGUAUGAUAUGGCCAGUACUCUCAUUGGCACACCUUAUUAUAUGAGUCCUGAACUGUUUUCCAACAAACCUUACAACUAUAAGUCUGAUGUUUGGGCUCUGGGCUGUUGUGUUUAUGAGAUGGCCACGUUGAAACAUGCUUUCAAUGCUAAAGACAUGAAUUCUUUAGUUUAUCGAAUUAUUGAAGGAAAGUUGCCACCAAUGCCAAAGGAUUACAGCCCACAACUUGCAGAACUAAUAAGAACUAUGCUUAACAAAAAGCCUGAAGAAAGACCGAGCGUGAAAAGCAUACUAAGGCAACCAUAUAUCAAGCACCAAAUAUCUCUGUUUUUGGAAGCCACAAAAGCAAAAACAGCCAAAAAUCAUAAGAAAAUAUCUGAUUCUACACCCAAAAAUGUUUCUGUGAUCUCAGUGAAAACUGAAUAUAACAAUGAAAAGGUCACACCCCCAAAACACCCCUCUGAACAAGCCAAGAGACAUAAAGCUAAUGAAGAAAAACAUGUAAUCAAAGAUAAAACAUUUGAAAUUCAUUCCUCAGAGAAAUCAGCAGCUGAGCUUGAAAAAAAUGCAAACAAGAAUGAGAAGAACAGCACAGGAGUUUCCAUAGCAACUAUUAGCAAAGUUGAUAUUGAUAUUUUAUUGUCUGAAAAGAGAGACUCUAAAAGUGAUCACUUACUAAAGGAUAACCAAGCAAAGCGUUUGAGCAUUCCUAGUGAUUUAGAAUCUAAAAUAACAUCUAAUGGCUCACAGACUAAGGAAGACAGACAACAGCAAAACUCAGAGCCAGCUUCUAGAACUGAAACUCUGGAUUCUAAGCAGUUUACUGUUGAUGUUGCAGGUGAAGGCGGUGAUACUUUGAAACUCCUGCAGCCUGUCUCCAACCAAAAGCAAAAUGAUGACAAGACCUUGGACUCCACUGAGAAGUUGCUAGAACCCUUUGUUCCUGUCAUAAUUCAAGAUGAAGUCUCUCAUGGAAUUCCAGAAGUAGUUCAGGAAAAAUGCACCACUUACUUACAGCCUCAUCGCUCUGUCUCUGAACCUUCUCUCUCACGGCAACGAUGGCAAAAGAAAAGGGAGCUAGAAGAAGUAUGUUUAGAGAAGAACAGACCAGUUGCUCCUCGGCCAUUACCCCUUCCUCCUGAUGUGAAUGUGAAGACAGCGUACAGCCCUGAAGAUCAGCAUGGUACUGAAGUAACUGAGUCUGUAAACAGCUCUAAAAAUAGUGAGAGAGCAGUUUCAAAGGAUCGACCCCUAUCAGCAAGAGAGAGGCGGAGAUUAAAACAAUCCCAAGAAAAGAUGUUUCCUUCUGUGCCUCCAGCAAGACGAGCAUCUCACAGUGCGGUAGCUGAAGCAAAGUCACUUGUGGAAGAUCAUAUUAAAGUUACUCAGUCCUCACCAGAUCCCAGUAUUUUUCAGAAAAAAAAAAUAAUCAGUCGUCUGUCUGAUGAUAUGAGCUCUUCCACAAGCUCCACAGAUAAGUCAGAUGGAGAUUCCAAGGAAGGAAAAAGCAAUACAAAUGAAAUGAACGAUUUGGUACAACUAAUGACUCAGACACUAAAAAUGGAUUCUAAAGAGAACUGUGAAUACCCUUCAAUUCUAACUCCUGCAUCAGAGUUCAAGCUUCAUAGGAAAUACAGAGAUACUCUGAUCCUACAUGGAAAAAUAUCUAAUGAACCAGAGAAUUUCAAAUUUGAAGACUUUCCUUCAGAUGUUUUAUCUGGUCCUGAAAAAAUUAGAAGAAUGGUUGAAAUUCUGAGGUCUGAUGUGGUGCAAGGGCUGGGAGUGAAACUUCUAGAGAAAGUUUAUGACAUCAUGGAGGAAGAUGAUGAAUUAGAGAGAGAGUUGCACUUACGGGAGCAUAUGGGAGAGAGCUACACAAAUUACAGUGCAAAAGCUCGCCAUCUGAAGUUUCUUGAAGAACAUGUGAAGUUUUGACCAGGUGACUUUACUGAACCUUUUUUCCCUUAGAGCUGUUACAGAAAAAUAACAAGGACCUAGUUUUAGAGGUGGUUUGGUGUAUUGGCCAUAUGCCAUAUUCUGUAUAAACAAAUUUUAUGGUACUUGUAUUUACCCAUGGAUUUCUAGGUUAUGAGGUAAACUGGUCUUGACAGAGUGAAAUGCUUAUUUGCUUGUGCAGAGUAGCACAGCUUUGUUAUAGCAUUAGUACUAGUAAUAUUUUUAUAUUAAAAUGUGAAACAGACAUUACUUUAUCUGAAGAAGAGAUUUUAUAUUUUGGAUUUUUACUUGACAUUACUUGCCUUUUGAUCUCAGACAUACUUGGAGUGUUUUAUGGGUAUGGAUUAGUUUCUAGAAAGUACUAAAUUGUGUAUGUAAAUUGAUAUAACCAGAUAAUUUAGAUCUAAUUUUCUUUAUCAGUAAAAGGUUGCAGUCAUAUCACAUUUCUUACUAAGCCAGCUGAUUUGGUAAGGCUAUAAUGUGGGAUCAUUAGAAUUAUAAUUUACUGAAGUUAAGAUCUGAAGCUCAAUUUUGGCAUGAGCUAAUUGUAAUUUCUGUAGCUGCAAAAACUCAGUGCAGUUUCUUCAAAUGGCUUAAAGUUCAAAUAAGAUAUAGUAAAAAGAUGAAUAAACUUCCUACCCUGAGUCCUUGGGCACCUUUAGAGCUCAUUUUCAAGGUUUAGGUAAGAAUGUUAUUUUCUCCAACUCAAACACAUUCAAAUACGAAUUCCUUUUAAGACUGGAAUGAGGAUUAAAAAGACUAGGUACAUUCAGAUUAAAUGGUACAUUAAAUUAGUGUAUUUAUCUGUCAACUUGUCUAAGUUUUUAGUAUGCUUUUGUUAUAUUUUAACAUUUGAUGCCUGGACGUGUUUUGCAGCAUCAGUGUUCUGAAGGUUUUUACAUAUUAGAUUUUUUAAAAAAGCAUAAUUGUCAUCAAGGAUAUUUGAAUUUUGUAAAAUAAAAAAAAUAAAGUCUGCAAGAUGUCAA